ensembl:lncRNA
GACAGAUGUGAAGAUCUUAUGUAUUCUGAAAAAGGAACGAAGAAAAUCUGUCAACUGUAGCGUCUGUAAAUCUGCAAUAACUGCGACCAAUGGGAUUUUCACGGUUUGUUUUUUUUUUCAACCAAUCACGUCUCCUGGUCUUCCUGCUCGCUCACGGCCCCGUGCGUGCACGAGCGUACAUUAAAAAGCGCGUCACCGUUGUUAGAGGAAGCCCGGAAGUAGACAACAGAAUGGCGGAGAAAGUACCUAUUCCACGUUUACUGGUAACGUCUUGUCCUGCUAAGAAGGGCAAGAAAAGAAAGACGUUUUUAGAAAAAGCUGCAAAAAAGAGGUCUUUGGAUUUAGCGAGAGGAAAGACAAAAAUCUGCAUCGGAACAUCUUUUGAACGAUGGCGACAAUUGAAGGAGGACAAGGGCCUGAAAACUGAUGCUAUGGUUGCUGAAUUACUUUUGGACAGGUAAGGUUGUUUUGUUGCCUGGGUGAUUGUGUUAUCUUUUAAAAUAGUGGAAGCAAUUCAAGCUAUUUGUCAUAUUAGCCAGAUGUUAAUGUUAGCGAUACAUGUCGCAAAGUAUUUCUGUUGUUGGAUUAGCCCGAUGCUACUGUUGAUUCUCUGUUAGUGCGAGCUAGUUUAGCAGCUACAGUGUGUACAGUAUACAUGUGUGCGUGUUUGAGCGUGUGUGUUGUUUGCUUUCAGCAGGGCGGUCAACAGCUGUAAUGUAGGAUAUUUGUGAUUCUUUUUAGCUAUAACUGUGCUCCGUCGACUUCAACGCCGUGGAAGGACUCACUUGUGAGACUACCUAACCCCGCUGUGUCAACUGUUGCUCCCGAGUCACUGUCUGAGAGAGAUGAUAAUUUCUCCGUUGCUGGAGUCCAGGAGUUAGACAUUAGUGGUCCCGAAGAGACAGCUCUUCAGCAAUUGGAUUCAAGUAUGCCGUCCCAGGACCUAAACGUUGAGGUUGGAGCUGAUGAAUUUCAUGACAUUCGGAACUUAAUUAUUGACUGGGAUGAUAGCACCUGGUACCCUGAUAAAGAGUCAGAGUCUUUGUCAUCAUCAGAAGAAGAUGUAACCAGGGAGGUCGAUUCUGACGAUGACAGUGAAGAAUCAACCUAUAAGCCUCGUAUUUGUGUGAGGACUGGUGGUGCUCUCAACAGUAAAAUUUGCUUGGAUGCUCUUCCUACAAUCAGCAUGGAAGACACAGUGCAUGAUGUUUCAGCCAAUAUCCCAGAUCCUAUCGACACAGACCUUCACACAUUUCCAGAGUCAUGUAAAGUUAUGGUGGAGGAUGAUAUUAUUGGUCAUCCUGCUUCUAUCACAUAUCAUGACAGCCUGAAGCAGCUUGCUGAGUAUCUCUGUCUACCUGUAAACACGUGUCCUGGUAAAGACUCAAAGACCAAGCAAAAGUGCAUGGAAACUGGCCCAUUUGAAAUCAAUAUAAAGUCCAGGGGAACAGCUGCUGUAAUUGAAUGGAAAUGUCCUUUUGGUCAUACAGUGUGGAAAUGGUGUUCCCAGCCCACUUUGAAAUAUGGGAUGCUAGUUGGAGACUUCAUGCUGUCUACUAAUAUACUACUAUCAGGCAAC